rnacentral:rRNA from 1 species
UACGUAGGGUGCAAGCGUUGUCCGGAAUUAUUGGGCGUAAAGGGCUCGUAGGCGGUCCGUCACGUCGGGAGUGAAAUCCUGGGGCUUAACCCCAGAACUGCUUCCGAUACGGGCAGACUAGAGGUAGGUAGGGGAGAAUGGAAUUCCUGGUGUAGCGGUGGAAUGCGCAGAUAUCAGGAGGAACACCAGUGGCGAAGGCGGUUCACUACACGAAUAUUGACUCUGAGGCACGAAAGCGUGGGGAUCAAACAGG